rnacentral:rRNA from 1 species
UACGUAGGGCGCGAGCGUUGUCCGGAAUUAUUGGGCGUAAAGCGCACGUAGGCGGCACACCAAGUCGGAUGUGAAAUCCCUCGGCUCAACCAAGGAAGUGCAUCCGAAACUGGCGAGCUUGAGUACGGGAGAGGAUCGCGGAAUUCCCGGUGUAGAGGUGAAAUUCGUAGAUAUCGGGAGGAACACCAGUGGCGAAGGCGGCGAUCUGGCCUAGUACUGACGCUGAGGUGCGAAAGCGUGGGGAGCAAACAGG